UGUAGCAAGGUUAACCGUAUAGGGGAGCCGGAGGGAAACCGAGUCUUAACCGGGCGUUAAGUUGCAGGGUAUAGACCCGAAACCCGGUGAUCUAGCCAUGGGCAGGUUGAAGGUUGGGUAACACUAACUGGAGGACCGAACCGACUAAUGUUGAAAAAUUAGCGGAUGACCUGUGGCUGGGGGUGAAAGGCCAAUCAAACCGGGAGAUAGCUGGUUCUCCCCGAAAGCUAUUUAGGUAGCGCCUCGUGAAUUCAUCUCCGGGGGUAGAGCACUGUUUCGGCUAGGGGGCCAUCCCGGCUUACCAACCCGAUGCAAACUGCGAAUACCGGAGAAUGUUAUCACGGGAGACACACGGCGGGUGCUAACGUCCGUCGUGAAGAGGGAAACAACCCAGACCGCCAGCUAAGGUCCCAAAGUCAUGGUUAAGUGGGAAACGAUGUGGGAAGGCCCAGACAGCCAGGAUGUUGGCUUAGAAGCAGCCAUCAUUUAAAGAAAGCGUAAUAGCUCACUGGUCGAGUCGGCCUGCGCGGAAGAUGUAACGGGGCUAAACCAUGCACCGAAGCUGCGGCAGCGACGCUGAUGCGUUGUUGGGUAGGG
rnacentral:rRNA from 1 species